rnacentral:rRNA from 1 species
GAUGAACGCUAGCGGCGGGCUUAAUACAUGCAAGUCGAGGGGCAGCACAGAUAGCAAUAUUGGGUGGCGACCGGCAAACGGGUGCGGAACACGUACACAACCUUCCUUUUGGUGGGGGAUAGCCUUUGGAAACGGAGAUUAAUACCCCAUAAGAUAUUGGGACCGCAUGGUUUUGAUAUUAAAGAUUUAUUGCCAGAAGAUGGGUGUGCGUAUGAUUAGGUAGUUGGUGAGGUAAAGGCUCACCAAGCCGACGAUCAUUAACUGGUGUGAGAGCACGACCAGUCACACGGGCACUGAGACACGGGCCCGACUCCUACGGGAGGCAGCAGUAAGGAAUAUUGGUAAAUGGACGGAAGUCUGAACCAGCCAUGCCGCGUGGAGGAUGAAGGUCCUCUGGAUUGUAAACUUCCUUUAUAUGGGGCGAAAAAGGGCCAUUCUUGGUCAACUGACGGUACCAUAUGAAUAAGCACCGGCUAACUCCGUGCCAGCAGCCGCCGUAAAAC